GAUGAACGCUGGCGGCGUGCUUAACACAUGCAAGUCGAACGGACAGGCCCUGCGUUUGUGGGGUGCUCGAGUGGCGAACGGGGGAGUAACACGUGAGUAACCUGCCCUUGACUUUCUGAUAUCUUUAGGAAACUGGGGCGCUUACCGCAUAGGAGCUCCUGCUGCAUGGGGGGGGUUGGAGAGUUUCGGCGGUUGGGGAUGGUCUCGCGGCUUAUCAGCUGGUUUGUGGGGUAGUGGCUUACCAGGGCUUUGACGGCUAGCCGGCCUGAGAGAGUGACCGGCCACAUUACGACUGAGGUACGGACCAGAAUCCUACGGGAGGCAGCAGUCGGGAAUAUUGCACAAUGGGCGGACGCCUGAGGCAGCAACCCCGCGUGCGGGAUGACGGCCUUCGGGGUGUGAACCGCUGUCGCCUGUGACGAAGCGUGCGUGACGGUAAUGGGUAAAGAAGCACCGGCUAACUACGUG
rnacentral:rRNA from 1 species